AGCGAGCUUGCCUAGAUGAUUUUAGUGCUUGCACUAAAUGAAACUAGAUACAAGCGAGCGGCGGACGGGUGAGUAACACGUGGGUAACCUGCCCAAGAGACUGGGAUAACACCUGGAAACAGAUGCUAAUACCGGAUAACAACACUAGACGCAUGUCUAGAGUUUGAAAGAUGGUUCUGCUAUCACUCUUGGAUGGACCUGCGGUGCAUUAGCUAGUUGGUAAGGUAACGGCUUACCAAGGCAAUGAUGCAUAGCCGAGUUGAGAGACUGAUCGGCCACAUUGGGACUGAGACACGGCCCAAACUCCUACGGGAGGCAGCAGUAGGGAAUCUUCCACAAUGGACGAAAGUCUGAUGGAGCAACGCCGCGUGAGUGAAGAAGGGUUUCGGCUCGUAAAGCUCUGUUGGUAGUGAAGAAAGAUAGAGGUAGUAACUGGCCUUUAUUUGACGGUAAUUACUUAGAAAGUCACGGCUAACUACGUGCCAGCAGCCGCGGUAAUACGUAGGUGGCAAGCGUUGUCCGGAUUUAUUGGGCGUAAAGCGAGUGCAGGCGGUUCAAUAAGUCUGAUGUGAAAGCCUUCGGCUCAACCGGAGAAUUGCAUCAGAAACUGUUGAACUUGAGUGCAGAAGAGGAGAGUGGAACUCCAUGUGUAGCGGUGGAAUGCGUAGAUAUAUGGAAGAACACCAGUGGCGAAGGCGGCUCUCUGGUCUGCAACUGACGCUGAGGCUCGAAAGCAUGGGUAGCGAACAGGAUU
rnacentral:rRNA from 1 species